rnacentral:lncRNA from 1 species
AAUCAGUCGCUCAAAAUAUAAUUAUUGAGUACUCACUAUGUGUGAGGCACUGUGCUGGGCUUUGCCUCCAUAGAACUUCGCCCACAGAACCAAAUAAGGAAUGCAUGCAGAAGCAGUGGUAUACAGGUUAAAAGAACAACUACAACUUGAAAUUUUAUAGUGUUUGCCUAUUUAUGUGGUGUAAAUACACACACAAUGGCCAAUUUCAAGCUACCAAUAUGAGGUAACUUAGAGUGGAGUUGAGAAUAGAUGUAUACAAUGGGCUCUUGUGAGCAAGCUCCAGAAUGACACUCAACAGGCCAGUCAACAAACAUUUACUUUAUAGACUGAUAUGUGCCAUAAUCGAUAAACAAAAGAAGUACAAGUACUAAUAUUUAUUAAACAUUUACUUUGUAUACACGUGAGUGCAUAUGUAUAUGACCACUAAUUGCCCUAUGUGCAUGAUCUCAUUUAGUCCUCAUCACAACCCCUGGAGCACUACUCAUACCCAAGUUUUACAAAAAAGGUAAUUAGGCCCAUAACAUGAUUAAGUAACUUGCUCAAAUCCAAUAACUAAUCAAUAACGGAGGUGGGAUGCAAAGUCAUAUGAGUUCCAAAACCUGCAUUUUUAGCUUCUACGCUCUAUGCCUCUUAGAAAACAUGCUAGUUUGAGAGUACCAAAAGGAUUACCUAAACAGACUUGGGAGCAGAGAAUCAAAGUCAUACUCUGAAAGGCGGUCACAGCUAAGGCCUAAAAAUGUAUAAGUUCUGUGGUGGAGACUUCCAUUUCUGUUUCCUAUAGAUACACUGAUAGACUAUAUUUUCCAGUUUCACCUAUAAUGUUGAGUGACUAUGUGGUGGAGGUGUGUGUGUGUGUGUGUGUGUAAGUGAAGCACACAACUUUCACACUUAGUCAUGAGGUUCUUCAUUUUCUCUCUUUCCCCAUGAUCCACUGAAUGGAGGCAUCUCCAAGGACUUACAUGAUGGUGAAGCCAUGGAGAUGGAUAGAGUGUGAGCCCCUGAAUGGCCACAAAAAGGCCUCCCAACUAGAAAUACUAUCACUGUACUCUGAAGCAAAUGAGAAAUACAUUCUCACUGUGAGACUGCUUUUGCCCUCAUCAGUUCUCAACUACAAUUCAAAUGCCGGUAGAAGCAAACAGGACAAUAUAUAUGAAGUGGCUGUUUUUGGACAAUAGGCAAUCAGUUCAGGAAUGCAAGCAAUGAAAGAAGGAGCAGAAAUCAAGCCAUUCUCCAGGAUAUCUUUAUUUUCCUAGCCAUCAUCAGGGUAAUCAGGACAUUCAGUUUCACUUCUGACAUCCAAUAUUGAUUGAUGAGCAUGAAUGGAUAACUGACAUCUCACUGGCAGAAACUGCAGUUUCCCCUCGGCCUUCUCCUCUGAGAGCCAGCACAACUCUUCCUGAAUUCAAGGCUGAAUCAUCUCCAAGGAAAUCUAUGUGAAGAGGACAGCAUCCACUUUGAAUGAGCCCAUUACAGCUCACCUUUAUUUUGUUCCCUGUAACUUCAUCAUCCCUCGAUAAUCCUCCAAGAAAAAUGAGGCAUAAGAUAAAAUCUUUGAGAGGACAUGAAGAGCUUCAUUGAAUGAACGGUCAUUCCCUCUGUUAUUCAGAAGAGGAGUACUGAAGAGAUUGGGGAUUAUUUUCGCAGGACCCCACUGCUAGAAAAUAGCAAAGCCAGAAUUUGAACCCACGCUGUCUGAUGUCAACAGCCCGUCUUCUUCCACUGCAACCACCUUCAUCACCAUUCGAUGAAGACUAACUAUCCUUUACUGUUCUUCCCUAAGCCUGAGGUUAACUGCUCUCUGGGUCCCAGGGUUCUCAAAAAGUAUUUUGUUUUCCCAUUGAAUACAACUUGAAGUUCUUGUCAUUAAAAAAAAAAAAAAGUCUCUAAAUAUUCUAGUGUUUGGGAGCAGAGAUUAAUUGGAAAAGUAAAUACUUGUAGAAAACUAAUUGGCAUUCCCUUGACAAAAUGUAAUGGAUUCAAGCAUUGGUCAGUGUUAGCUCUUAUCCUGGUAUGAAGAAUUAAUGUGAUUGCAAUGACCACACUGCUGCUGAGUCUGAAGUCUGCAGGCCAA